GAUGAACGCUGGCGGCGUGCCUAAUACAUGCAAGUCGAGCGAACGGACGCGAAGCUUGCUUUUCUGAUGUUAGCGGCGGACGGGUGAGUAACACGUGGAUAACCUACCUAUAAGACUGGGAUAACUUCGGGAAACCGGAGCUAAUACCGGAUAAUAUUUUGAACCGCAUGGUUCAAAAGUGAAAGACGGUCUUGCUGUCACUUAUAGCUGGAUCCGCGCUGCAUUAGCUAGUUGGUAAGGUAACGGCUUACCAAGGCGACUAUGCAUAGCCGACCUGACAGGGGGAUCGGCCACACGGGAACUGGGACAGGGUCCAGACUCCUACGGGAGGCAGCAGUAGGGAAUCGUCCGCAAUGGGCGAGAGCCUGACGGAGCAACGGCGCGUGAGUGAUGAAGGUCUUCGGAUCGUAAAACUCUGUUAUUAGUUAAGAACAGAUGUGUAAGUAACUGUGCACAUCUUGACGGUACCGAAUCAGAAAGCCACGGCUAACUACGUG
rnacentral:rRNA from 1 species